AGGGAGUUAGGAAGGGGAUAGGUCUGUUGUCUCUACUAGAUAAGACAUACAUUUGGACAAAAUAUUUGAGUUUGCUCGCAUGCGUGGAUAAGUCCAAAGAACACAUGCAUUUGGACAAAAUGUUCAGGAUUGGUCACGUGCGAACAUAAUUCCAAAUAAGGCACAUAUUUGCAACAGAGACUUGCAUAUAAAAAGUCUGAUGAAAUCCCUUUGUUCAACAACACUCCAAAGACUAACGUUGUGUAAGAAGCUACCCUAUGUCAGGAGAUGUGGUGAAGACAUCGAGCAGAGUCUUCAGCCUGGUCAGCUGUGAACUCUCCUGGAGAUGAACAACAGCCUGGAUUAAACAUGGAUAAAAGAGCUGAAUUCCAAAG